UACGUAGGGGGGCAAGCGUUGUCCGGAAUUAUUGGGCGUAAAGAGCUCGUAGGCGGUCUGUUGCGUCCGCUGUGAAAACUCGGGGCUUAACCCCGAGCCUGCAGUGGAUACGGGCAGACUAGAGGUAGGUAGGGGAGAAUGGAAUUCCCGGUGUAGCGGUGAAAUGCGCAGAUAUCGGGAGGAACACCGGUGGCGAAGGCGGUUCUCUGGGCCUUACCUGACGCUGAGGAGCGAAAGCGUGGGGAGCGAACAGG
rnacentral:rRNA from 1 species